rnacentral:rRNA from 1 species
AGAGUUUGAUCCUGGCUCAGGACUAACGCUGGCGGCGUGUCUUAGACAUGUAAGUCGAACGGGUCUCUAUUCUGUAGCAAUACAGGGUAGAGCUAGUGGCGAACGGGUGAGUAAUACAAAAGUAAUCUACCUCGGAGUGGGGUAUAAUCCCGCGAAAGCGGGACUAAUCCCCCAUAUUCUCCCAAAACGUCGGUUUUAUGAGGAAAGGCUUCGGUCGCUCUGAGAUGAGCUUUUGGCCCAUCAGCUAGUUGGUAAGGUAAUGGCCUACCAAGGCGAUGACGGGUAGGGGACCUGAGAGGGUGGCCCCCCACAAUGGAACUGAAACACGGUCCAUACACCUACGGGUGGCAGCAGUAGGGAAUAUUGGUUAAUCUGGGAAACCGGGAACCAGCAACGCCGCGUGCACGAUGAAGGCCUUCGGGUUGUAAAGUGCUUUUUGAAAGGAUGAGGAAGGACAGUACUUUCAGAAUAAGCUUCGGCUAACUACGUGCCAGCAGCCGCGGUAAAACGUAGGAAGCGAGCGUUAUCCGGAUUUACUGGGCGUAAAGCGUGUGUAGGCGGUUUGACAAGUUGGAUGUGAAAGCUCCUGGCUUAACUGGGAGAGGUCGUUCAAAACUGUCAGACUUGAGAGUGGUAGAGGGAGGUGGAAUUCCGGGUGUAGUGGUGAAAUGCGUAGAUAUCCGGAGGAACACCAGUGGCGAAAGCGGCCUCCUGGCCCAUUUCUGACGCUCAGACACGAAAGCUAAGGUAGCAAACGGGAUUAGAGACCCCGGUAGUCUUAGCUGUAAACGAUAUGAACUUAGUGUCGGUGGGUUUAAAUCCAUCGGUACUGAAGCAGACGCGAUAAGUUCACCGCCUGGGGACUACGGCCGCAAGGUUAAAACUCAAAGGAAUUGACGGGGCCCCGCACAAGCAGCGGAGCGUGUGGUUUAAUUCGAUGCUACACGAAGAACCUUACCAGGGUUUGACAUGCUAGUGGUAGGAAGCCGAAAGGUGACCGACCCUUCGGGGAGCUAGCACAGGUGCUGCAUGGCUGUCGUCAGCUCGUGUCGUGAGAUGUUCGGUUAAGUCCGCUAACGAGCGCAACCCUCGCUGCGUGUUACAUGUGUCACGUGGGACUGCCGGUCUUAAGCCGGAGGAAGGUGGGGAUGACGUCAAGUCAGCAUGGCCUUUAUGUCCUGGGCUACACACACGCUACAAUGGUCAGCACAAUAGGUAGCUAAGCCGCAAGGUAGAGCCAAUCCUCAAAGUUGGCCUCAGUUCAGAUUGUAGGCUGCAACUCGCCUGCAUGAAGAUGGAGUUGCUAGUAAACGCGCGUCAGCUAUAGUGCGUUGAAUACGUUCCCGGGGCUUGUACUCACCGCCCGUCA